UUCCCGGAGCUGUGCUCGGAGAAAGCGUUGCCAUUGGCCAGCGGUGGUUGCCGCCCAGCCUGUCCCCCCAGGGCAGCAGCCAGGCAGGGGCCAUAUCUGCUUGGACUUACCGUCCCAAGUCUAAGGGAUUAGUGGCAAACGGAUGAGUGGACACAUGCUUACUGACCACCUACUAUGUACUGACCAGUCACCGUCCGAGGCUCUAGGGACACCCAGAUCUUGUCUCUUGGAAGAUUAUCUGCCAGAGCAGCUGAUUUUCAACCCUUUUCAUCUCGUGGCACAGAAAUGAGUUUCUAAAAUUCUGCGGCACUCCAAAAAUAUAUUACGUUUUUGUUGACCUGGCAACAACAAUAGGCACAAUUUUGAUUCAUUCACACCGGGCGGCUAUGACUGUGUUGGCUGUUGUCAUUUUUAAUUUCAUUUUAUUUAUUUUUUUGUUGUCAUUUUUUAAUUUGACAAUCCAAGGGGGAAAGAGGUCAGUGCCCCUGGCUAAAUGGUCAGGUAUCACAUGUUUUAAAACUUCUUGUGGGACACCGGGAGAAAGAUACGCACUAGUUUAAUAAUCACACAUGUUACUAUGCAAUCUUUUUUUUUAAUUUUUUCAAUCUAUAUAUAUCUGUAUUGAUUUCAGAGAGGAAGGGAGAAGAGAGAAACAUCAACGAUGAGAGAGAAUCAUGGAUCGGCUGCCUCCUGCUCGCCCCACACUGGGGAUGCGGUCCGAAACCCGGACAUGUGCCCUGACCGGGAAUAGACCUGUGACCUCCUGGUUCCUGGGUCAAAGCUUAACCACUGAGCCACACCUCCAGGCUUGCUGUGCCAUCUUGAACUGACGCAGGCUUUGAAGAAGAGGAUGUUAGGAGGCGGUGGUAGAGCCCAGCGGCUGGGCGAGCGGCACUGUGACCUGGUAGCGUGGGGACACGCGGCCCCAGGGGUAAGCCCGGGACUGACAUCGCACCUCCGCUGGCAGGGCGCCGGGAAAGGCGCAGACCCAGCCUGGCCACGCCAGCCGGUGACUGACAGGGUGUAUUAAGGGAAGCUCACCUCCCCGGCAUGUCUUGGGCAAGAGCAAGAUGAAAUGGAUCCCCCGGCCGCUUGGCAGGGGCCCAAGAAGUCUAUGGGGUGAACGGUGGGGGAAUCGUCACGGGGCGGGUACGUGAGUGCCACCAGGUGUAGGCAAUUCCUUCACGUGCCUGACCUGGGCAGGACAGCGACCCGUUCCAGGAAGCAGCACCCCGCGCGCGGUCGGGGAGGCACGGGAGGGGUGCUGCUGCAUGUCCGAGUGGAUGUCAGGCACGAUCAGGACGCCUGAGAGCAGGGCUCCCAGAAUGCCACCUCUGCCCCAUGGGGCCAGCUCCUGGGCCAGAGCGCGGCUGCGUCAUGGAACAGCCUCUCCGCCGCAGGCCGGGCCGCCCAGAAGUCACGCUGGGUGUGCUUCAGGCAGGACACAGGUGAGUGUUACCUGGUGGUUUUUCUCGGGGAGCCAAGCCUCCCUCGUACUCAUCCUGACCUCUGCCUGCGUCUAGCCAAAUCGGGUAGCCAUCUCCCAGGACUCCUCAGUCUAGGCAUGAAUUUGGACCCAAGUCAAGUCUGGGAGCCUCGAAGAAAGACUCCCAAGACUAUGAAGAAAGACGUGGAUCUCGGUCAGCACUUGGGACUCUGUGCUCAAGAGAGAAUGGAAGAGAUGGAUGGACACAGAUCGAUGCCUCAUGAUUUUCCUCCAGCACCUGGAUCCAGCCAUGCCUGAAGCCCAUAGGGACUCCUCGAAGGCUCAGCCACGGGCACCCGGGCUCAGGACCAGCAGGGCACGAGACCACAGAACCCCUCACUGUUACCUCGUUCCCCUCAUCAUGCCGGCUCUGUGUACUGUAAUGUUAACUAUUCGCUAUCCUUACCACCCAUGUGAAAGAAAUACGCGUUUCUCCACAGGUGAUCCAAUCCUGAAGAUUUCCCCACGUGGUUUUCUCCCGCCUCCUUACCCUACCGCCAAUGGGCGCCAUGUGUCUUCUUUAUGUUUUUCCUUCUGAUUCACAACGCAGAACUGUCAUUCUCUGGAGCAUUUUCUCAGUCUCCUGAGAUCUUACUUCUGGGUGUGUCCUCAAAAACUUGGCUCCAAUAAACUCUUUUUUUUUUUUUUUUUUUUUAGAAGAGAGAGAAAGAGAGAGAGAGAGGGAAAGACAGAGAAACAUCCAUGUGAGAGCAACACAUCAAUAGGUUGCCUCCUGCACACAGCUCCGACCAGGGCCCAGGCCAGGGCAGUGCCUGUCCUUGAUUGGAAUUGAACCCAGAACCCUUUGGUCCACAGGCCAAUGCUCUAUCCACUGAGCCAAACUGGCCAGGGCUCCAAUAAAUUCUUAUUAAACUUUUCUCCAUAGCUUAGAACUUAGAAAUAGUUUAGACAUAAGUUUUCCUCUGCAAGUAAUGCUUUUAUCAUUCCAACCGAGGUCAGAUAAAUGACCAAUGAAGGAACAAUCUCACUUGUAACAUUGAAAGCUUCACAUAUUUAUACACAUUGUAUUUAUUCAAAAUGUGCUUACAGGCACUUAGUGUGCAGAAUAGAAAUAUCACUCACACCCAUGUUUUAGUUACAAUAGGACAACCAGUUACCAGUGUAACAGCCAUUGCCUGACAUGAACGCUAAUGGGCAAAUUUUCUCUGAGCAAAGUGUACAGUUUCUUAAAGUAUGUUCCUGUUGUUUGUUGAAAUGUGACUUUACGUCGACUUCCAUAUUUUAAAAAAUGAACUUGCAUUUGUAUAUAUGUUUUGUCACGUCAUUUAUGAGGAAUUGAUCUUUACCCUCAUUCAGUGAGAUCUAUGCCUAAUGGAUUAGAAGCAGGUCCUGCAUCGCGGAGAGGAAGCAGCGCUGGUCUAUGGCUGGACUGCGCUCCUUGGGGGGCAUUUUACUCAAACUGGCCCGACGGUGGGCCUUCGGCAAUUAUUUAUUAAAUGAAG